rnacentral:rRNA from 1 species
UACGAAGGGGGCUAGCGUUGUUCGGAAUCACUGGGCGUAAAGCGCACGUAGGCGGAUUCUUAAGUCAGGGGUGAAAUCCCGAGGCUCAACCUCGGAACUGCCUUUGAUACUGGGGAUCUCGAGUUCGGGAGAGGUGAGUGGAAUUGCGAGUGUAGAGGUGAAAUUCGUAGAUAUUCGCAAGAACACCAGUGGCGAAGGCGGCUCACUGGCCCGAUACUGACGCUGAGGUGCGAAAGCGUGGGAGCAACAG